rnacentral:rRNA from 1 species
UACGUAGGUGACAAGCGUUGUCCGGAUUUACUGGGCGUAAAGAGCGCGCAGGCGGUCGAUCAAGUCGAGUGUGAAAGCCCCCGGCUCAACUGGGGAGGGUCAUUCGAUACUGAUCGACUCGAAGGCAGGAGAGGGGUGUAGAAUUCCCGGUGUAGUGGUGGAAUGCGUAGAUAUCGGGGGGAAUACCAGUGGCGAAGGCGGCAACCUGGACAAGUACUGACACUCAACUACGAAAGCGUGGGGAGCAAACAGG